rnacentral:lncRNA from 1 species
AGAGAACUAAUGAUUGAACAAAGAAGGUGCCUGGUAGAGGAGCAUAGAAUGGCAAAAGAAGUUAGGAAGGGAGAGAGGAAGGGAAGGGGUGGAAGGAAAGAGAGAGGCACGCGCGAAUCCCACUGGGGCUGCUCUCCGAAUCGAGGUCGCAUCCCUGGCGGGAACCCGCGAUCUCCCUGAUCCUGGGGUCUAGCUGUCUGCCUCAGUCCUCCUCGUGUCCCACCCCUCCCCCUUCCCACCCCCCGCAGAGGGCCGCCGCUUCCUCUCCGACCAGAGCCGUAGGAAGGAGCUUGCAGACCGGCCGCCUCCAGAAAGACGAAACCCAGAUCUUGAACUGCUGACUCUCCCAGAGGCUGCAGCCCUGUUUCUGGCUUCCUUGGAAAAAUCACAAAAAGGUGCAGAUGAAGGAGGGAAUUUUGAUAAAAGCGAACUCUUGGAAGACAGACUCUUCAACUGGUGAAAACACACCAGGACACCUUCAAGUGUAGUCCUCGUUGUGAUGGAAACCAGAACCACACGAGGGGCCCGUGCACCCUUCCUUCCACCCGAGAAACCUGCACCUCUAGGUUUAGUCCCAUGGAAAUCCUGGCUGGAACAUUACCACUGGCUGGAACAUCACCAUUGGCUGGAACAUCACCCAUGUCUUACGUAGGCUUGGAUUAUUCAGGGCCUUUCACGUGUCAAGGCUGAGAACUCAGAAAUGUUCUUUCUUCUCCCUGCAGUCAGGCCCUGCUUUGAUUUUGGCCGUUUGUUUUCUUAUCCCAUAAUUCCCUUGCCUUUGGUGCCACUCAGAAGCAAAUAUCGCUGUCCCUCAUCGUCCCAGCCCCAGUGAGAGAGAGGGUGCACCGGGAAGGGAAUGGAUAGGAUCUCCUAGAUAGGAACUCGUCUGCGAGGUCAAAUAAGGAGGGAGGCAAGGAGAAGAUGCCUGAUAAAGCUCCCAUGAAAACACAUCUCUGUCGCUGCUGAAACAGGGCACCAUCCAUGAUGCUGAAACUGCUGGAAGGUCUGUGAAAACUGAGGACCGGGAGCCUCUUUGUGCUCCUAGGACCUAACUGAACUCCACAUAGAAGCUUAGACCUUAAGGUUACUGACACACAAACAGAUGGUGAUGUCAGAGUUUGCUGGAGCACACGGCACACAAAGGUACAAACCAGUUGUUCAGGUUCAGAGGUAGUCCAUCUUCUGUGACUUUGCAUUAAGGUAUUCCCAUGACACAAGUGAGUGCCACAUGCAUGAUUUACCCUUUCCCAUGCACACACAUGCACAGGCACAUGCACACGCACACAGUGAAGGAAUUUGGGAGUGAAAUCCCUAUACCAAGGAGACUAACUUAUUUGGAAUUACAUCUUGAUCACCGUGUGUGUGUGUGUGUGUAUGUGUGUGUGUGUGUGUGUGUGUUUAAAAAAAUAUUCAAUUCAGAGUCAUUAACCAUAAGUGCUCAAGUGACAAAGUAGCGAUACUUAUUGUCCCCAGCUUACAGUUAUUACCUUGAACUAUACAGUAUCUUUAUGUAAAUACCGCUGUAAUCUGAUAUUUUAACUCAACUGUGUUAAAUCAAAACCUAGUGUAUAUGUUUUGCCUGCUUCUCAGUUCAUAAAUAAACAAUAAAACU